UACGAAGGGGGCUAGCGUUGCUCGGAAUCACUGGGCGUAAAGCGCGCGUAGGCGGCUUUUUAAGUCAGAGGUGAAAUCCUGGAGCUCAACUCCAGAACUGCCUUUGAUACUGGAGAGCUUGAGUCCGGGAGAGGUGAGUGGAACUGCGAGUGUAGAGGUGGAAUUCGUAGAUAUUAGGAAGAACACCAGUGGCGGAAGGCGGCUCACUGGUCCGGUACUGA
rnacentral:rRNA from 1 species